AGCAGCCGCGGUAAUUCCAGCUCCAAUAGCGUAUAUUAAAGUUGUUGCAGUUAAAAAGCUCGUAGUUGAAUUUCGGGAUUAGUGCGCUGGUCAUGCCUUUGGUAUGUACUGGUGUUACUGGUUUCUACCUUCUGAAGAACCGUUAUGUCAUUUAUUUGGUGUGGCGGGGAAUCAGGACUGUUACUUUGAAAAAAUUAGAGUGUUUAAAGCAGGCUCGCGCUUGAAUACAUUAGCAUGGAAUAAUGAAAUAGGACGUUUGACCCUAUUUUGUUGGUUUCUAGGAUCGACGUAAUGAUUAAUAGGGAUAGUUGGGGGCAUUAGUAUUCAAUUGUCAGAGGUGAAAUUCUUGGAUUUAUUGAAGACUAACUACUGCGAAAGCAUUUGCCAAGGAUGUUUUCAUUAAUCAAGAACGAAAGUUAGGGGAUCGAAGACGAUCAGAUACCGUCGUAGUCUUAACCAUAAACUAUGCCGACUAGGGAUCGGAUGAUGUUAUUUUAAUGACUCAUUCGGCGCCUUACGG
rnacentral:rRNA from 1 species